rnacentral:rRNA from 1 species
UACAGAGGUCUCAAGCGUUGUUCGGAUUCAUUGGGCGUAAAGGGUGCGUAGGUGGCGCCAUAAGUCAGGUGUGAAAUCUCGGGGCUCAACCUCGAAACUGCACUUGAUACUGUGGUGCUUGAGUACUGGAGAGGAGAUUGGAAUUUACGGUGUAGCAGUGAAAUGCGUAGAUAUCGUAAGGAAGGCCAGUGGCGAAGGCGAAUCUCUGGACAGUUACUGACACUGAGGCACGAAGGCCAGGGGAGCAAACGGG